rnacentral:rRNA from 1 species
AUGAUCAGAUUGGUGAUGCAUGGCUUGUGCCAAUGCAUGCCGCAGGAAGCCGUUAAUCUGCCGCCUGGGAAGUACGUACGCAAGUAUGAAACUUAAAGGAAUUGGCGGGGGAGCACCACAAGGGGUGAAGCCUGCGGUUCAAUUGGAGUCAACGCCAGAAAUCUUACCUGGGGCGACAGCAGAAUGAAGGUCAAGCUGAGGACUUUACCAGACAAGCUGAGAGGUGGUGCAUGGCCGUCGCCAGCUCGUGCCGUGAGAUGUCCUGUUAAGUCAGGUAACGAGCGAGACCCCUGCGUCUAGUUGCUACCAUUACUMUCUGGAGUAGUGGAGCGAAUUAGACGGACCGCCACAGUUAAUGUGGAGGAAGGAAGGGGCCACGGCAGGUCAGUAUGCCCCGAAACCCUAGGGYUACACGCGGGCUGCAAUGGUAUUGACAAUGUGUUCCGAAUCCGAAAGGAGGAGGCAAUCAUUAAACGAUACCUCAGUUAUGACUGAGGGCUAUAACUCGCCCUCACGAAUAUGGAAUCCCUAU